UUAAAAAUUUUUCCCCCCCCCUCUUUAAAAUUUUUGAGGGGAAGGGGGAGGGGAAACAAUUUAAAAUAACGAGAAACAAAAUUUUUUUUGAAGGUUCUUUCCUUGCCAAAGAGGCCCCAACUUUAAAAGCUUUUAAAGAAAGUUUUUGGGAAGGGCAAGUUUGGGGCCCACCAGCCGCGGGUAAUUCCAGCUCCCCAACGGGUUUAUUGUCAUUGGGGCGGUUAAAAAGCUUGUAGUUGGAUUUUAGCUCAGGUCGGUAGUUCUCCAUGUGAGAUUAUGCUUGGGUGAGCUGUUUUUCCCGUUUCUCCGUAGUUUCGGCUGCGGUGACUGGUGUUGUAACUUGAUAAAAUCAAUGUGAUUAAAACAGGCGUUUGCUUGAAUGCUUUAUCAUGAAAUAAUAGAAUAUGACUUCGGUCCAUUCUGUUGGUCUUGGGAUCGAAGUAAUGAUUAAAAGGAACAACUCGGGGGCAUCCGUAUCGCUGCGUGAGAGGUGAAAUUCUUGGACCGCAGCGAGACGACCUAUUGCGAAAGCAUUUGCCAAGAAUGUUUUCAUUAAUCAAGAACGAAAGUCAGAGGAUCGAAGGCGAUUAGAUACCGCCCUAGUUCUGACCGUAAACUAUGCCAACUAGCGAUCAGGUGGUGGUAGUUUAGCCCUGCCUGGGAGCUUCUCGGAAACGAAAGUCUUCGGGUUCCGGGGGUAGUAUGGUUGCAAAUCUGAAACUUAAAGGAAUUGACGGAAGGGCACCACCAGGAGUGGAGCCUGCGGCUUAAUUUGACUCAACACGGGAAAUCUCACCCGGACCGGACACUAUAAUGAUUGACAGAUUGAUAGUUCUUUCUUGAUUUGGUGGUUGGUGGUGCAUGGCCGUUCUUAGUUCGUGGAUUGAUCUGUCUGGUUUAUUCCGAUAACGAACGAGACUCUAACCUGCUAACUAGUGAUGCGUUAAUUGAGACGUACCUACUUCUUAGAGGGAUAAGCGGUGUUCAACCGCAUGAGAUUGAGUAAUAACAGGUCUGUGAUGCCCUUAGAUGUUCGGGGCUGCACGCGCGCUACACUGGAAAGUGCAGCAAGCGUUAUUAACCUUGGCCGAAAGGUCUGGGUAAUCUUUUGAAAGCUUUUCGUGUUUGGAAUAGAGGAUUGAAAUUAUUUCUCUUGAACGAGGAAUUCGAGCUCGGUACCCGGGGAUCCUCUAGAGUCGACCUGCAGGCAUGCAAGCUUGAGUAUCUAUUAGUCACC
rnacentral:rRNA from 1 species